AACGGGUUCUAGUAGAUCUUUUUUUUUGAUGUUGAAAGUCAAAUUAUUAAUUUUAGUUUACUAGUUUAUCAGCUAUGGUCUUCUGAUGUUUAGUGUAACGUGGACGGAGUUGAAUACAUGUUCAAUUUUACCUCGUUUACAAUGACAUAAUCUAUACUCUGUAUAUGGUUUGUAUGUGGCUAUAAAAAUAAUUAUAUACAAUUUUGUUUUUACAGGCAAAAUGUUUUGAAUCCUAUUGUGGAGGUACGGUUCCCUUUGCAUACAUAUUAGUAAAAAAAUCAGAUGAAACUAAAUUUUUCACUCAUUAUGAUUCAUUGAAUUAUCAAAAUCCACUACCUGGAACAAUUGUUGAUUCUGAUAUCACUGACCCAAACAUAUUCGACUUCUUCUUGAUUUCACACACAGUCAAGUCUGGAUCAGUGUCUCCGACUUACUAUUGUAUACUGUUUAAUUCUAUUCCUCAGUUUUUGGUAGAUGAACUACACAUGAUUACUUACUUCUUAACUCACAUGUACUACAAAAGUCCGCAUACCAUACAAGUUCCUGCACCGUGUCAAUUGGCAUACGAUUUAGCAUAUUUUAGUGCAAAUACACUUAAGAGUACUGACAAAAUAUUGUUACACGGCUAUCCAUUCUUUUUUUAAAUUAUUAUGUUUUU